rnacentral:rRNA from 1 species
CACUGCUAUCGGGGUUCGAUUAAGCCAUGCUAGUCGAGAGGGUUCAGACCCUCGGCGGACUGCUCAGUAACACGUGGAUAAUCUGCCCUAUGGUGGAGGAUAACCCCGGGAAACUGGGGAUAAUACUCCAUAAGUCAGGAGUACUGUAUCGUCUCCUAACUGAAAGUUGCGGCGCCAUAGGAUGAAUCUGCGGCCGAUUAGGUAGUUGUUGGGGUUAACCGCCCCAACCAAUUCUGGAAUCGGUACGGGUUGUGGGAGCUAUAUUCCCGGAGAUGGGAGGCUGGGGAGCCCCUCCCCGGCCCUACGGGGCGCAGCAGGCGCGAAAACUUUACAAUGCAGGAACUGUGAUAAGGGAACCCCGAGUGCCCGUAAACGCGGGCUGUCCCGGUGUUUAAAACACAUCGGAAGAAAGGGCCGGGCAAGACCGGUGGCAGCCCGCCCCGGUAAUCCGGGCGCUCGAGUGGGGGACCACUUUUAUUGGGCUUAAAGGGUUCGUAACCUUGAUUUUUAAGUCUCUUGGGGAAAUUUCACGGCUUACUGGGAGGCGCCUAAAAAAACUGGGAACCUAGGGACCGGGAAGGGAAAAGUACCUCAGGGGUAAAAUGAAUCUCGUAUCUCUGAGGACCCCGAGGCGAAGCAUCUACAAACGCUCCAAGUAGGACAACUGGGACGAGGAUAUAUCUGUAUCCAGCUACACUCGCGUAAGUGCGUACAAUCAGGGUCGUCUAGACAUGACUAG